rnacentral:rRNA from 1 species
GACGAACGCUGGCGGCGUGCUUAACACAUGCAAGUCGAACGGAAAGGCCCUGCUUUGGUGGGGUGCUCGAGUGGCGAACGGGUGAGUAACACGUGAGUAACCUGCCCUUGACUUUGGGAUAACUUCAGGAAACUGGGGCUAAUACCGGAUAGGAGCUCCUGCUGCAUGGUGGGGGUUGGAAAGUUUCGGCGGUUGGGGAUGGACUCGCGGCUUAUCAGCUUGUUGGUGGGGUAGUGGCUUACCAAGGCUUUGACGGGUAGCGGGCCUGAGAGGGUGACCGGCCACGUUGGGACUGGGAUACGGCCCAGACUCCUACGGGAGGCAGCAGUGGGGAAUAUUGCACAAUGGGCGGAGGCCUGAUGCAGCAACGCCGCGUGCGGGAUAACGGCCUUCGGGUUGUAAACCGCUUUCGCCUGUGACGAAGCGUGAGUGACGGUAAUGGGUAAAGAAGCACCGGCUAACUACGUG